rnacentral:rRNA from 1 species
AACGAACGCUGGCGGCAGGCUUAACACAUGCAAGUCGAGCGCCCCGCAAGGGGAGCGGCAGACGGGUGAGUAACGCGUGGGAAUCUACCCAUCUCUACGGAAUAACGCAUGGAAACGUGCGCUAAUAACGUAUACGUCCUUCGGGAGAAAGAUUUAUCGGAGAUGGAUGAGCCCGCGUUGGAUUAGCUAGUUGGUGGGGUAAAGGCCUACCAAGGCGACGAUCCAUAGCUGGUCUGAGAGGAUGAUCAGCCACACUGGGACUGAGACACGGCCCAGACUCCUACGGGAGGCAGCAGUGGGGAAUAUUGGACAAUGGGCGCAAGCCUGAUCCAGCCAUGCCGCGUGAGUGAUGAGGGCCCUAGGGUUGUAAAGCUCUUUCACCGGUGAAGAUAAUGACGGUAACCGGAGAAGAAGCCCCGGCUAACUUCGUGCCAGCCGCCGCAGAAGAC